rnacentral:rRNA from 1 species
UCCUGCCAGUAGUCAUAUGCUUGUCUAAAGGAUUAAGCCAUGCAUGUCUAAGUAUAAGCAAACUUAUACUGUGAAACUGCGAACGGCUCAUUAAAUCAGUUAUAAUUUACUUGAUCGUAUUUCAAUUCUUACAUGGAUAACCGUAGGAAUUCUAGAGCUAAUACAUGAAAAAAAUCCCGACCUUUUAGGAAAGGAUGAAUUUAUUAGAUUACCAACUAACGCAGGGUAUUCCAAACUAUAGUGAACUCGUGUCAUUAUAGGCUCUGGUCUGUGAUUUAUUACAGGCAACUAAAAUAACGGGUAACGGGGAAUUAGGGUUCGAUUCCGGAGAGGGGGCCUGAGAAAUGGCCACCACUUCCAAGGAAGGCAGCAGGCGCGCAAAUUACCCAAUCCCAAUACGGGGAGGUAGUGACAAGAAAUACCAAUACAGGCCCAAUGGGACUGUGUUUGGAAUGAGUGUAAUUUAAAAACCUUAUCAAGGAACGAUUGGAGGGCAAGUCUGGUGCCAGCAGCCGCGGUAAUUCCAGCUCCAAUAGUGUAUACUAAAGUUGCUGCAGUUAAAAAGCUCGUAGUUGGAAUUCGGUUAAUGAAUUGAUAGUCUAUAUUUUAUAUAUACGCACUGUUAAUUCAUUUCCUUUUUUUUUAGGUUUAACCACUUUUAGUGAUUUUCCUAAAUAUUUUACUUUGAGAAAAUUAGAGUGUUCAAAGCAGGCGUAACUAAGCCUUUGAAUAUAUUAGCAUGGGAUAAUGAAAUAAGACUUUUUGCCUUAUUCUCGUUGGUUCAUAGGGCUAAAGUAAUGAUUAAUUAGUAUUUAAUUGUCAGAGGUGAAAUUCUAAGAUUUAUUAAAGACUAACUACUGCGAAAGCAUUUGACAAGGAUGUUUUCAUUAAUCAAGAACGAAAGUUGGGGGAUCGAAGAUGAUCAGAUACCGUCGUAGUCUCAACCAUAAACUAUGCCGACCAAGGAUCCGGGGGUGUUAAAUAUGGAUGACUCUCCGGGCACUUAUAGAGAAAUCAUAAGUAUUUGGGCUCCGGGGGGAGUAUGGUCGCAAGGCUGAAACUUAAAGGAAUUGACGGAAGGGCACCACAAGGAGUGGAACCUGCGGUUUAAUUUGACUCAACACGGGGAAACUUACCAGGUCCAGACACAGUGAGGAUUGACAGAUUGAGAGUUCUUUCUUGAUUCUGUGAGUGGUGGUGCAUGGCCGUUUCUAGUUGGUGGAGUGAUUUGUCUGGUUAAUUCCGUUAACGAACGAGACCUUAACCUAUUAAAUAGUUAAUCUUGAACAUGGUCCUAAAGACCAUUUGUUUAAUUAACUUCUUAGAGGGACUCUUCACUGAGAGAGUGAAUGGAAGUUUGAGGCAAAAACAGGUCUGUGAUGCCCUUAGAUGUUCUGGGCCACACGCGCGUUACACUGACAUAUUCAACGAG